UAUGUGAUCGUCUCUCGCAUAUCAAUAAGCGGAGGAAAAGAAACUAACAAGGAUUCCCCUAGUAACGGCGAGUGAAGCGGGAAGAGCUCAAAUUUGAAAUCUUAAAGGGUUUCCCUUUACGAAUUGUAGUUUAAAGAAGUGUUUUCUGCUGAGGUUUUGGUAAAAGUUCUUUGGAAUAGGACAUCAUAGAGGGUGAGAAUCCCGUAUUUGACCUUUACUUUCAACUUUGUGAUACACUUUCAAAGAGUCGGAUUGUUUGGGAAUGCAGUCCAAAAUGGGUGGUAAAUUUCAUCUAAAGCUAAAUAUUGGCGAGAGACCGAUAGCGAACAAGUACCGUGAGGGAAAGAUGAAAAGAACUUUGAAAAGAGAGUUAAACAGUACGUGAAAUUGUCAAAAGGGAAGCGUUUGACACCAGUGUUGUUUUUCUGAAAAUCAAUUAAAGAACUGUUUAUGCUAAGCUGUUUAGACUUUAUCAGCUAUCUGUUUAGUUUUGAGCUUUUCUUUAAUGCACUUUUCAGUUAACAAGUCAACAUCAAUUUCUUUUGCUGUAAAAAAGCUUGAGGAAGGUGGCUUGAGAUUCGUCUUAAGUGUUUAUAGCCUCUUGCCUAUGCAGUCGGAGAGAUUGAGGUCUGCAGCGUAGAUCCUUCGGGGCUAAAUGCAUUUGUGCUAAGUUAUAGCAUUUUAUAGACAACUUGUUGACUAUGAUUUGUCUUGUAGCUUACUCGCUUAUGUUAUUUUACCUACGCUUAGGAUGUUGAGCGCAUGUCUCUCUCU
rnacentral:rRNA from 1 species